rnacentral:lncRNA from 1 species
CUACUAGCAUUGGCCUCAGCAGUGGACCUCAAAGUUAUCCAGUAAAUUCGCUUCAGCUCCUCUCAUUUAUAAUCUUGGCUUAGUAUCAUUUGCAGAAGGACAAAGAAGACUUUCCCAUCUGAACCACUGGGACAGGCUUGAGGGGCUCCAUUGCAGAGCAGAUCUCAAAGGUGUCCUAUCUCAGAGCCAUUCCUUCUCUGCUGAAGCCCUGGAGUUACCUUGUUGUACAGGAUACUGUCAAAAUAUGUAUCUGAAGAUGCUUGUAAGCCUCUGUCCCACAGAAGAUCCUGAAGGACUACUGAAUCCCAGCUCCUGUCCCUCUCAGCUGUGCUGUCAUCUCAGUGUCCAGGACUUUCCUAGCAGCUGCUCAAUAAGUGUUGAUUGAUCACUGAGAAUGCUACAGAACAGCUGUAGAACAACAGG